CUGUCGGUGUCGCCGGCCUCGGCGCCCACAAGGACGGGUGUGAUUCCCCUUCGCGCCUCGGUGGGUCUGUUUCGGUGACGACUGUGGUGGCUGACGAAUCAUGCUUUGACAGGGAGCGAGCGAGGAUCAAUGACUACAACUCCCAGAAGGCCCCACUGAUGACGUUGUGGUGUUGUUUCGGGCUUUCCCACCACAGAUGUAAGGCUCAAUGGUCUAUAAUUAUCGGGACUAUCCCUACUACCCUUUUUGAACAAGGGGACAACAUUCGCCUCCCUCCAAUACUCCGGUACAAUUCCCGUGGACAAUGAGGACAUAAUGAUCUUCGCCAGAGGCUCAGCAAUCUAUUUUCUUGCCUCAGAUGCAGAACUGGGAAGCGCAGAUGGAGUUCAACACAGAUGAAGAGGUUCAUUUCUGCAGGUCAAAUUUGAACAAAGAAUAUAAUAUUAAUGUGAUCUUACUCCUGACGCCAGUCCCAGGACCCAACCCAUUUACAGACCCGGAGCGGAACCGGAGCAGAUCCUCAGCCACUGGUUUCCAUCCCCAGUCGCAAAGUAAGGAUAAAGUUUCCCCGUGAAUUUAUUCCCAGUGAAGGUGUGGAGAUGGGACUUGGUCUCCGCGUUGUAAAAUGAAACUGUCCCGGACUCGUAACUGAGAUAAACCCCCACCCUCCCGGGGAUGGGACCGGCAGCGAGACGGGACUCGGGGGAGGGGCGACCGAACACGUCACAAUCCCGAUGUAACACAUCAUAAUACCGCCCGAUGACCCAGAAUCCGGUGUCCGGACUCAGACUGACCCGUCUCUUCCUCUCCACAGACUCUGCGGCGACUCCCAGACCCCAGCCCCGAUUCCCCGUCACCUCCACCUCCCAGUAAUGUCUCCCCUAUGUGAAUCCCUCCGAUCUCAGCAUACAAGCCCAAUUUGUGAAUCUCUUCCUGGUGUCAGGGAGAUCUCUCCGGGUCCGGGUACAUCUCACACUUUUCCGAUCCUCAGACACCUCGAUCCAUGGAUUCGCCGUUUCCACAUCCAGGGUGACAGAGACUGGGAGGGGAAGCAGAGAAUCAGAGAGUCCCCAGGCAUUGUGGGGAGACUCAGGCAGCACUGCCCCAGAGAUUGGGGGAACACUCGGGCAAAGCGUCCCCAGGACCAGUGGAAAGCCCGAGGGCCUUCGGCGCAGUCAGGUUGCCGACAGGCAACCUUUCCCAGGGAAGCGUGUGGGCAACUAAUAUCUCUCCAAUAUCUUUCCGCUGGACGGAGAGCAGAGAUUUACCGAUCAAACAGACACAAAAUGCUGUAGGAACCGAGCGGGUCAGGUAGCAUGUGUGGAGAGAGAUGGACAAUCAACGUUUCAGAUCGACAUCUUCUCUGAAGAACAAAGAUGAAUAGGGGAGAGAGACAGCAGAAACGAGUGCGGUAAAGGGGUGGAUUAAGAUGGGAAGGGGUGAGUGAAUGGAUUUAAACAAGAGGUCACAGAGGCUCUUCUAAACUUUUAGUAUCCUGAUUUAUAUUAUUGGCCAGUUUGCCCUCAUAUUUCGUCUUGACCAUUCUUAUGGCUUUUUUCGUUGCCUUUUGUUGGAUUUUAAGAGCAUCCCAAUAAUCCAACAUCCCACUCACCUUCGCUACCUUCUAUGCCAUUUCCUUAGGUUUAACACAAUUAAUACAUGCCUUUUCCAGCUCAAACUGUGAAUUAAUUUAAAGUCAAUCCCAUAAUUUAUUAAAGUUUUUACUGAAAACUGGAACAUUAUGAUCCCCACAAAUCCCCCCUCCAUUUUCAAAAUCAUAUCCCAAACAUCUCCAAGUUUAAUAUCCCUUCCAAUAUUAUCUCCAUAUAACCUCCAGUAAAUCACCUCCUUCCUCACCACGGCCUUUGCCCUUUUAUUGUUAAUAAUGUAACUCGGAGACUGAUGCACCAUCAGAUAAAAACUCACAUUUCUCCCAAUUUGUUUCCUGUCCCUUUAUAAAUCCAAAUCCAAACUCAUAAAGACAGGAAGGCUGACUGACAUUCACAUAAACUAAUCACCCUCUGAGUUCCCAUUUGAGCGACAGGCACUGCAGCCAAUUACAGCAGGCGUCAGUGUUAGGUCUGAGCUACGAUAGGCUGGAGGAAAUCGGCCCAUGCUCAGCCCAUCCUCUUCCACUCCAUCGCCAUGGCGGAGAUCAGCGAGUCGCUUCUGUCGGUGUCGCCGGCCUCGGCGCCCACAAGGACGGGUGUGAUUCUCCUUCGCGCCUCGGUGGGUCUGUUUCGGUGCCGUCUGUGGUGGCUGACGAAACAUGCUUUGACAGGGAGCGAGCGAGGACAUUGACUGCAACUCCCAGAAGGCCCCACUGAUGACGUUGUGGUGUUGUUUCGGGCUUUCCCACCACAGAUGUAAGGCUCAAUGGUCUAUAAUUAUCCGGACUAUCCCUAAUACCCUUUUUGUACAAGGGGACAACAUUUGCCUCCCUCCGGUACCAUUCUCGUGGACACUGAGGACAUAAUGAUCCUAGCCAGAGGCUCAGCAAUCUAUUUCCUCGCUUCGGAUGCAGAACUGGGAAGUGGCAGAUGGAGUUCAACACAGCUGAAGAAGUUCAUUUCUGCAGGUCAAAUUCGAACACAGAAUAUAAUAUUAAUGAUAAGACUCUUGGCAGUGUGGAGGGUCAGAGAGAUCUUGGGGUCCGUAUCCAUACGACACUCAAAGCUGCUGUGGAGGUUGGCAGUGUUGUUAGGAAGGCGUCUGGUGUGAUGGCCUUCAUCAACCGUGGGAUUGAGUUCAAGAGCUGUGAGGUGAUGUUGAAGCGAUAUUUCUCCUAACCUGUGCAUAAGUAAUUGUACCCCAACACGGCAGGGCUGUGGGCUUAGUUGGACCCCACUUGGGAGUCCUGUGUUCAGUUCUGGUGGCCUCACUACAGGAAGGAUGUGGAUACUAUAGAGAGUGUAGAGUAGAUUUACAAGGAUGUUGCUCUUGGAUUGGAGAGCAGCCUUAUGAGAAUAGAUUGAGUGAACUUGGCCUUUCCUUCUUGUAGUGACGGAGGAUGAGAGGUGACCUGAUUUAGGUGUAUAAGAUGAUGAGAGGCUUUGACCAUGUGGAUAACCAGAGGCAUUUUCCCAGAGACUCUUACAUAGGUUCAUGGAGCUUAGAAACAUAGAGGGUUAUACGAUCAGGAAAUCCGAGGCAGUCUCUAGAGUAGGUUACAACAUUGUGGGCUGAAGAGCCUGUAAUGUGCUGUAGAUUUCUGUGUUCUGUGUCAAAGACAGGCAGAGGGAUUAGUUUAAAUGGACAUGAGGACAGCAUGGAAAGGUUGGGCCGAAUGGCCUGUGUUAGUGCCGUAAGGGAUCGGUUCUGUCCCAGCCAUCGACUCUAUUCCCCUCAACAGAUGCUGCCUGGCUUGACAACGUACUUGAAAAGUUACAUUCAGUUCCGCUUAGCAUUCUGCACAAAGGAUGUUUUGUGCUGGAAGAGUGCAGAGGAGAUUCAUCAUGAUUGAGGGGGCUUCUGUUCAUAAGUCCAUAAGGCAUAGGAACAGAAUUAGGCCAUUCAGCCCAUUGAGUCAGCCACCUUUCCAUCAUGGCUGAUCCCAGAUCGCACUCAAUUCCAGAUAUCUGACCUCCCGCCGUAUCCUUUGAUGCCCUGACCGAUCAGGAAACGAUCAACUUCCGCCUUGAAUAUACCCACACACUCGGCCUCCGCCGCAGUCUGUGGCAGAGAAUUCCACAGAUCCAAUACACCUUGGCUAAUAAAAAAAAUAAGC